AUUGUAUAAUCCGAAAUUUUAGUUUCUGUUUUCUUUUCAUUCACUUUUAUAGAGAAUCUCCCCUAAGUUCCAGAGGCACAUGUUAAAUGAACUUUCUGAAACAGCGACUUUGGAGUUGAAGGGUUCUUCAAAUUGUUCAUGGACUGUUUUAGUGAGUCAAAUAGAAGGGGAUAUAUAUAUCAAGAAUGGAUGGCAGAAGUUUGUAAAAGAUAACCCCUUGGGCGAUUUUGAGUUUUUAGUAUUUAGGUAUGAGAGACCUAUGCAUUUUACUAUAGAGAUCUUUGACAAGACGGCAUGCAUGAGAAACAAUCUUCUGGAAAAAUCCGCUAGGGCCGACAACACUAAGAGGCCUCGGGGUAGACCGAGAAAGUGCAAUCGUUCAGGUACAGGAUCAAAAUGCAUGUUGCUAAAUACAUGUUACUCUACUAGUCUACUGGAAAUAACCUUAUGUCUCUACUUAUGUUUCCUUUUUGUAUGUAAAUUGCUGGUGAAAACAUUCCAAGUUGCCAGUCCACUGAACUGAAAGAGAUUAAAGAAGAAGAAGCCGCCACAUUGCUCAGUUCUGGGUUCCGUUCUUUUACAAGUACUAUGGGGAAAAGCUCUUAUAAUGUGGCUGUUCCAGUGGACUUCAGUAGGGAGCAUCUUCCUGAGGGCUACUAUCACAUUGUGCUGAAAAAUUCGAAGGGACAAAAAUGGAAAGUGAAAGUCAUCUGUUCCUGUACAUACGACACUCAAACUUUCUAGAGGGUGGUCGAAGUUCAGACGUGCUAAUCAAAUCAACUGGGGAGAUAUUUGUUCAUGGAACAUUAGAGUACAUCAAACUGGAAGCUCUAUAUAUCUAAAGGAAGCAAGCUGGAGGGAGUUUUUAGAAGAUCACUCCAUUGGUGACAGUGAGUUUUUGAUAGUCAUAUAUGAUGGAUGUAUGCAAUUCAGUAUACAGAUAUUUGACAAGAAUCAUGUUGAGAGGGUCGACUUUCCUGAUAUUGAGACACAUGAUGAAAAUCGGAAUUUUGCUAACAAUUCAGGGCUUUACGGAGGGGAAGAAGAUUACCAACGCUAUAGAGCUCAGGAAAAUGCUAAGCAGUUCAAACCCAAGUGAUCGGACAAAUAUUUUCUAUGUUUUUAGUGCAUUUCUCUCUACAUUUUACUUAGUUAUUUCCUUAACAUUAUCAUUUCUAACUUAGUUUUUGUUUUUAGGUACUUUUGAGUCAGAAAUGAAGGCAAGGAGGAAAUGAGGCACAGAAAUGGGAAAGAAAAUGGAUAAAUGAGGCAUUCCUAAUCCUACCAGGAAAAUGAAUCCCAGUUGAAGUAGGAAUCCUAAGUCAACUAGGAGUGAGCUCGGAAAAAUGGUGUUCGGAAAUGAGAAAUGACAGAGUCCCAGUUGGACUAGGAAAC